CCUACGGGUGGCUGCAGUGGGGAAUAUUGCACAAUGGGCGCAAGCCUGAUGCAGCCAUGCCGCGUGUGUGAAGAAGGCCUUCGGGUUGUAAAGCACUUUCAGCGGGGAGGAAGGCGUUAAGGUUAAUAACCUUGUCGAUUGACGUUACCCGCAGAAGAAGCACCGGCUAACUCCGUGCCAGCAGCCGCGGUAAUACGGAGGGUGCAAGCGUUAAUCGGAAUUACUGGGCGUAAAGCGCACGCAGGCGGUCUGUCAAGUCGGAUGUGAAAUCCCCGGGCUCAACCUGGGAACUGCAUUCGAAACUGGCAGGCUAGAGUCUUGUAGAGGGGGGUAGAAUUCCAGGUGUAGCGGUGAAAUGCGUAGAGAUCUGGAGGAAUACCGGUGGCGAAGGCGGCCCCCUGGACAAAGACUGACGCUCAGGUCCGAAAGCGUGGGGAGCAAACAGGAUUAGAUACCCCAGUAGUC
rnacentral:rRNA from 1 species